GGGCGCUGCUCUGCUGCAGGAGCGCUGUAGCCCAGAGGAGAUUCUGCGACAGCUGUGGCAAUGGCGCUCGGAGGGGCUGCGGACCAGAACGGCUCUGUCGCCCGGAGCAAUGAUAAAUGAAUUGUUGGGGAUUUAAAGGUCUUUAAAUUAAUGGAAAACCCUGAUUCCUCAACCAAGUCAACAUAUGGCUCAUUUGGACCUGCCUUCAGUUCUGGAGUUGGAAUGUAUUAAGAGAGAGAUGAGCCAAAUCCAGUUGUUACUUCCCUGAGUCUCACUGAAGAUCUAACAGGAAAGAUACGUUCAUCUUUUCCUUUAAAAAUAUUUUCAAGAUCUUCCCCUAAGCGUCACAUUAGAUGAGAUGUAUGACCCCUUGUAUGCAAAUCUCAGAUCCAGACUUUGAGUUCUAACAAUGCAGGCAUUUUGGUAACACCCAGACAUUGGCUUUAAUAUUGCCAGGUCAUUUGCCAUUAUUUGUUGUGUUCUUCAAAUCUGGAGCUCUCUUCUUUUUCUUAAUCUUUAAAAAGGGACAUAUACUGUUCAGAUUACAACUAUACUGAGAAAUCAUAUCAUCUAGUGGAUGGGGCAUUGGGCCAGGACUCAGAAGUAUACUGAAUACCAAACUCCACCACAGACCUGCAAUGUGACCUUAGGCAAAUAACUUUUUCUCUCUGGGCCUCUGUUUCCACUCCCACCUUUGUCUUGGCUGUUUAGACCAAGUCCUUCAAAGCAGGGACUCUCUUACAUAUCUUUGUACAGCACCUAACACAACGGGACUAUCUCUCUUUGGGGCCUCCAGGAGUUAUUGGCAUACAAACGAUAAUAACAAUAAACCCAAAUUAAACAUAUUAAGUCCAACUUUUGCCUUCAGUUACACCCAUGCAGCCAUGUUGGCUUCCAUGUUUACUUCUAGUCUUUGAUUACUGGGACAAAUCUUGAAGUCCUAAAUCUUUUUUCAGCCCAAACUCAUUGAAGUCACUGUGCGAAAACCUCUUUUUUGGAUGCUGAAAUCAGCCUUAGUCCCACGUUUUCUGUACCUGAUGUGCUUUAGAAUUUUGUAUUGACAACUCACAGAUGUAUUGUAGAAGUUAUCAGGGAAGAAGCUGAAGGUUUUGACAGCAGAAUAGGGAACACUGGGAUUUUUGGGACUUGGGCUGGCAUCAGAAGCUGUUUGGGAUAGGGUAAAUACAAUAGCUGAGCAUUUUAUUAAAGUGAGCAGAGAUGAAAUAGUUAAUGUUAAUAUUUAAACAAUUAGCUGUAGGAUUCAGAGUAAACAACCUAUUGAAGUGAGAAGCAAAGAUCACGCUUCUCCAGAACUAUAGUUUCAGGCUAUCUGCAGCCUCUUAAGGAUAGCACUGUGUUAGUUACAUACAGCUGACACUAUAAAGCUGUUAUUCCCAGCCAUAAAGGCUAGAAAGAUUUGGGUUUUGUUUGUUUAAUGGAUAUUUGGCUUCUGGAAUAAAAUUCCGAAGAAAAGUGGAUUCAGUUGCAAAUUCUACAGCCAAUUUCCCUGACUAUUCCGCAGGGGAAUUGUAAUAAAGUAAACACUGGUCACUUAGGCUAUG